GCCGGGCGCAGUGGCCCACACCUGUCAUCCCAGCAGCUCGGGAGGCUGAGGCAGGAGGAUCGAGAGUUCAAAGGCAGCCUCAGCAAUUUAGCGAGGCCCUAAGCAGCUCAGCGAGACCCUGUCUCUA
rnacentral:sRNA from 1 species